rnacentral:rRNA from 1 species
AGAGUUUGAUCCUGGCUCAGGACGAACGCUGGCGGCGUGCCUAACACAUGCAAGUUGAGCGACGAACCAGGGCUUGCCCUGGGGCAAAGCAGCGAACGGGUGAGUAACACGUGGGUAACCUGCCCCGAUAACCGGGACAACCCGAGGAAACUCGGGCUAAUACCGGAUGUGCUCGCCGGACGGAAGUCCGGCGCGUAAAGGAAGCUUCGGCCUCCGUAUCGGGAGGGGCCCGUGGCCCAUUAGCUAGUUGGUGAGGUAACGGCUCACCAAGGCUGCGAUGGGUAGCUGGUCUGAGAGGACGAUCAGCCACACUGGGACUGAGACACGGCCCAGACUCCUACGGGAGGCAGCAGUGGGGAAUCUUGCGCAAUGCGCGAAAGCGUGACGCAGCAACGCCGCGUGGGGGAAGAAGGCCUUCGGGUUGUAAACCCCUUUCAGGAGGGACGAAGGUUCGGCGGUGAACAGCCGACCGGACUGACGGUACCUCCACAAGAAGCCCCGGCUAACUACGUGCCAGCAGCCGCGGUAAUACGUAGGGGGCUAGCGUUGUCCGGAAUCAUUGGGCGUAAAGCGCGCGUAGGCGGCCCGGUAAGUCCGCUCUGAAAGUCCAGGGCUCAACCCUGGAAAGCGGGUGGAUACUGCCGGGCUAGAGUCCGGAAGAGGCGAGUGGAAUUCCUGGUGUAGCGGUGGAAUGCGCAGAUAUCAGGAGGAACACCAAUAGCGAAGGCAGCUCGCUGGGACGGUACUGACGCUAAGGCGCGAAAGCGUGGGGAGCGAACAGGAUUAGAUACCCUGGUAGUCCACGCCGUAAACGAUGGGCACUAGGUGUGGGAGGUGUCGACUCCUCCCGUGCCGACGCUAACGCAUUAAGUGCCCCGCCUGGGGAGUACGGCCGCAAGGCUAAAACUCAAAGGAAUUGACGGGGGCCCG